AGAAGAGUCAUGUCUGCCCCGCCUGAAACGGAAAGGUGGGACAGGAAGGGGAAGUACAAAAGGCGGGCCUUGCAGCUCAGUUGGGUGGGAGCUGCCAUAGGAGACAGAUGCAUCCCGCUUGCUGCUGAAGCCAGCAGAGGAACUCCUGGGGUUGCCUCCUGAGGAUUGGUCAGAACUCCCAGGACUGUUGGCUGACCAAGGCACCGAGGAGCUGCCGGGGCUUCCCUGGCUGGAUCUCCCUGGGCUACUGGCCGAGUGAGACACUGACGAGCUGUUGGGGCUGCUGCCUGCAGAUUGGCCAGCAAUCCCUGAGUCAACGGACACAGGUACACCUGAGGGGGAGAGUAGGAAGCAGCCCAUGGAAACCAGGCAACCAUCUGGUUGGGAAACGGCCAGAUACAAGGGUGGGAAAAAUCUUCAGAAUCAUUCUCAUGGGAUGAGGAAAGCGUCCUGCUUCACUCUAACACAGGUUUGGGACACGGAAUAUGCUGCCUACAUCUAAUGAUAUUUCGGAAACGCCUGUGGAUAACUAGAUUAAUCAUUUUAUGUGGGUCUACGUGAGGUGCUCCAGAAAUCCCCAAGUGUUGAAAUUAUAUUCUACUGUCUCAACAAUACAGUCCCUGCUCUGCUAUUAGUGUGAAGGACCAGUGACAUCCAGUGGCAAGUUGGAGUGACUGAAUUCCUUACAAUUCUGCCAAAGCACAGGUGCUUUAUUUUCACAUGGGUUGAUAGCAACUCUGUCCUGUUGUUUUAGAAUCAUUAUUAUUAAACAUAUCUUGCCUCUAGCUUCUUACUCCAGGCCCACUUCUGUGGUAGCUGGGCACCUACUGAGCAUGCUCCGUUUGCUAUUCUUAUGAAUUACAUAUAGCUCUAUAUUUGUUUUAACUUUGGUUGCAUGGGUACUUCAAUGUGAGCUUCAUCGGGAACAAUGGCCAUAAAACUCAAAAUUCUCUAGCAAUGACGUUCCACAUAAACAUAACCAGGGAGAAAUUUGUCCUUGGGAGAGGCUAUGUGCCUAAAAUACAUGACUUGGUUAAGGAUACUAUGAAACAUUUUUCUAACACUUAGGGUACAGAAAGAGACUGAGCACUCAGCUAGAGUACUGACUUACUUUAGAGUGAGUGAAGAUUGCUCUCUCUCUCGCCUUCCCUCCCCCAUUUUAGGAAGAAAUUCUGACCACUGUACAAAGAUCGUUUACCAAACUUCCAAGAACUUCUCUUAAAGGUCCAACGUCACUAACCGAAUGUAGGUGUGUAUUGUAAAUUACAUUUUGGAGAAUGCUAUAUUUCAAAAACAGUUCCUCCUUUUGCUCACUGCCUAGUUCUGGAUUCCCUUUUCCUUGCAUGAGUUGAUCUCUAGUAUUCACUUGAACUACAGAUGCAGUCCUCACGGAAUGAGUGAAAGAAUAAAUGUCAUUUAUAGUCUGGGUGGGAAAUAUUUCAACUUGGAAGCGGUUAUUAGCAAAGUUUAAAAAAAAUCUGAAAUCUGUUCACAAUGUUGAAAGUACAGAAUAGAGAAUUAUUUUGUUUAAAAUACAAAGUAAUUAAAAAAAAACAUAACAUGACUUUUGACAGAAGGGACAAUAUGAAUUGCAGAUCCUCUGGUAACUUUAAUAUUAGAGGGGCCUUUAUUAAAGAGAAUGAUUUACUGCUUGUGUUUAGAUGCACUGAACUCUGAACCCCUCUGUGUAAAAAUAGAUCACUGAUAACCCUUAAUAAAGUUGUGUAUUUACUGUAACCCAUAACUUGCAUUACGUCAACUGUACUUCAUCCCUCUGUAUCUGCCACAAUCUUUUACUCAUAUACUG